rnacentral:lncRNA from 1 species
ACAUAACAAUUUUUUUACAAAUUUUUGCAGCAGCAAGAUCAAACUCUGCCAUUCAGUAAUCACUGGAAGCACUAGAUGAUACUUAAAAUUCAAUUUCCAAAUCUAGCUUUCUAACCUAAACCCAAAAAACCAGACAAAUAUGGACACAGAAAAGAAGAAGAAACAACAAUCUAAUGACUGUAAGCCAAAUCAACAUACACCACGACAAAUAUGGACACAGAAAAGAAGAAGAAACAGCAAUCUGAUGACUGUAAGCCAAAUCAACAUACACCACCACCGGGGCGUA